CUGCAGGUAUGGAGAUAUGGUUCCUGACACUAUAGCUGGGAAGAUAUUUGGAUCUAUCUGUUCACUCAGUGGGGUUCUGGUCAUUGCUCUGCCGGUCCCUGUCAUUGUCUCAAAC
rfam:Xenopus laevis strain J chromosome 8S, whole genome shotgun sequence.